rnacentral:rRNA from 1 species
GAUGAACGCUGGCGAGAUGCUUUACACAUGCAAGUCGUACGAGAGUUUCAAACUCAAGUGGCGGACGGGUGAGUAACACGUAAGAAUUUACCUUUAGGAGGGGGACAACAGAGGGAAACAGCUGCUAAUACCCCAUAUGCUUUCGAGUGAAAUGGAUUAUUCCGCCUAGAGAGAAGCUUGCGGCUGAUUAGCUUGUUGGUGAGGUAAUGGCUUACCAAGGCGACGAUCAGUAUCUGGUUUGAGAGGACGAUCAGACACACUGGAACUGAGACGCGGUCCAGACUCCUACGGGAGGCAGCAGUGGGGAAUUUUCCGCAAUGGGCGAAAGCCUGACGGAGCAAUCUCGCGUGAGGGAUGACUGCCUAUGGGUUGUAAACCUCUUUUUUCAGGGAGGAAUCAAUGACGUGUACCCGAAGAAUAAGCAUCGGCUAACUCCGUGCCAGCAGCCGCGGUAAGACGGAGGAUGCAAGUGUUAUCCGGAAUCACUGGGCGUAAAGCGUCUGUAGGUGGUUUAAUUAGUCAACUGUUAAAUCUUGAAGCUCAACUUCAAAAUCGCAGUCGAAACUAUUAGAC